rnacentral:rRNA from 1 species
GUGGGGAAUCUUAGACAAUGGGCGCAAGCCUGAUCUAGCCAUGCCGCGUGAGCGAUGAAGGCCUUAGGGUUGUAAAGCUCUUUCAGUGGGGAAGAUAAUGACUGUACCCACAGAAGAAGCCCCGGCUAACUCCGUGCCAGCAGCCGCGGUAAUACGGAGGGGGCUAGCGUUGUUCGGAAUUACUGGGCGUAAAGCGCACGUAGGCGGACUGGAAAGUCAGGGGUGAAAUCCCGGGGCUCAACCCCGGAACUGCCUUUGAAACUCCCAGUCUUGAGGUCGAGAGAGGUGAGUGGAAUUCCGAGUGUAGAGGUGAAAUUCGUAGAUAUUCGGAGGAACACCAGUGGCGAAGGCGGCUCACUGGCUCGAUACUGACGCUGAGGUGCGAAAGCGUGGGGAGCAAACAGGAUUAGAAACCCCAGUAGUCA